rnacentral:lncRNA from 1 species
UGGGAUUCGACACCCAACCUAGCUGGGUUCUAUAUUUGACAGCGACUUCUUACAAUUUCUACCGAGAGUUGUAAUUUGGGCAUAUCAAGGAUCCUAAGGUUUUUCUUGAUGUGAUGGAAAAAUUUUUUAGGUUUAGGCAUGACACAUACAUGAAAGGGGUGGAGUUUGCUACCUAUCCGCUGAAGGAUGUGGCAUACCAAGAGUACGACGAAUGGGAUAGGGCAAGGGGUG